UAGGGAAUCUUCCGCAAUGGACGCAAGUCUGACGGAGCAACGCCGCGCGAGUGAAGAAGGAUUUCGGUUCGUAAAACUCUGUUGUCAGAGAAGAACAGCGCAUAGAGUAACUGUUAUGCGUGUGACGGUAUCUAACCAGAAAGCCACGGCUAACUACGUGCCAGCAGCCGCGGUAAUACGUAGGUGGCAAGCGUUGUCCGGAUUUAUUGGGCGUAAAGCGAGCGCAGGCGGUCAAUUAAGUCUGAUGUGAAAGCCCCCGGCUCAACCGGGGAGGGUCAUUGGAAACUGGUUGACUUGAGUGCAGAAGAGGAGAGUGGAAUUCCAUGUGUAGCGGUGAAGUGCGUAGAUAUAUGGAGGAACACCAGUGGCGAAGGCGACUCUCUGGUCUGUAACUGACGCUGGGGCGCGAAAGCGUGGGUAGCAAACAGG
rnacentral:rRNA from 1 species